rnacentral:hammerhead_ribozyme from 1 species
AUCGAGCUGACGAGUCCCAAAUAGGACAUAACGCGCGUCCUGGAU